rnacentral:rRNA from 1 species
GCAGUCGCCGCGGGAAUACAGAGGGUGCGAGCGUUAAUCGGAUUUACUGGGCGUAAAGCGUGCGUAGGCGGCUUUUUAAGUCGGAUGUGAAAUCCCUGAGCUUAACUUAGGAAUUGCAUUCGAUACUGGGAAGCUAGAGUAUGGGAGAGGAUGGUAGAAUUCCAGGUGUAGCGGUGAAAUGCGUAGAGAUCUGGAGGAAUACCGAUGGCGAAGGCAGCCAUCUGGCCUAAUACUGACGCUGAGGUACGAAAGCAUGGGGAGCAAACAGGAUUAGAUACCCGUGUAGUCCCUGUCUCUUAUAA